AAAAAGGUCUUGAUAACCCACAAGUAUAGGGGAUCGCAACAGUUUUCGAGGGUAGAGUAUUCAACCCAAAUUUUUAGAUUCGACACAAGGGGAGCCAAAGAAUAUCUGAAGGUAUUAGGAGCUGAGUUGUCAAUUCAACCACACCAGGAGAUUAAUUAUAUGCAUCAAAAUGAUUAAAAGCACAGUACUAUGAUAGCUUUUAUGAUAGUAGCAGCAACAAUAAUAACUAACGGUUUUAGAAGUGAUUUUGUAGCAAUAACGAUAGCAGUAGCAAGAGUAGUAACUUAGCAUGAACAAUAUAAGGUAAACUAAUAGGCAUUGGAUCGGUGACUCGUUGGAUGAUAUUCAUCAUGAGACAGCUAUAACCUACGGCGAUACAGCACUAGCUCCAGUUCAUAAAUAUAAUGUAGGCAUGUAUUUCGUAAAUAGUCAUACGUGCUUAUGGAAAGAAGUUGCAUGGCAUCUUUUGUCCUACCCUCCAGUGGCAUUGGGGUCCUAUUGGAAACUAAGGGAUAUUAAGACCUCCUUUUAAUAGAGAACCGGAACAAAGAAUUAACACACAGUGAAUACAUGAACUCCUCAAACUACGGUCAUUACCGGGAGUGGUCCCGACUAUUGUCGCUCCGGGGUUGCCGGAUCAUAACUCGUACUAGGUGACUAUAACUUGCAAGAUCGGAUCUAGAACAUGGGUAUAUGGUGAUAACAUAAACAGUUCAGAUCUGAAAUCAUGGCACCCGGUCCCAAAGUGACAAGCAUUAAGCAUGGCAAAGACAUAGCAACAUCAAUCUCAGAACAUAGUGGAUACAAGGGAUCAGGCCCUAAUAAAACUGACUCGAUUACAUGAUGAAUCUCAUCCAACUCCUCAUCGACCAGCGAGCCUACGAAGAAAUUACUCACUCCCGAUGGGGAGCCUCAUGGAGUUGACGAUGGAGGUGUGUUGGUGAUGAUGAAGAUCGAAGACCCCCCUCUCCGGAGCCCCAAACGGACUCCAGAUCUGGCCUCCUGAUGAAGAAUAGAAGACGGUGGCGACUCCGUAUCAUGAAACGCGAUAAUAAUUUCUCAUUAACUUUUUCUGAAAUAAUGUGAUUUUAUAGCGUCGGUUUCAGGGUCAUAGGGGCCACCAAGUGGGGACAACCCACCAGGGCACGCCCUGGUGGGUUGUGCGCACCCCCCCCCCUAAGGUGGCUCUUGGCUCCAGAAUUCUCUUUAUUGAUAUAAAAAAUCCUCGCAAAGUUUCGUUCCAUUCCGAGAACUUUUAUUUCUGCAUAAAAACAACACCAUGGUAGUUCUGCUAAAAACAGCGUUAGUCUGGGGUUAGUUUCAUUCAAAUCAUGCAAAUUAGAGUUCAAAACAAGAGGAAAAUCAUUAGAAAAAGUAGAUACAUUGGAGAUGUAUCAAUAUGCAGCUCGGUGCUUUGACGUCUUUCUGUAAAAUACUUCACGGUACCAUAGAAAAUACCCUCCACAGUCGUUGUAAGUGGCAAAAAGCCAUGUUUCCUCUGAGGACAAAGUUAUAUGUUUCAGCGAAAUUGGUAGUCAUGACACCGUACCUUGCUUCAUGUGUGUCAUGCAAUAGAGACCACGUCUCCAAAGGCUCAUGCUCUAUCCACUGAUCAAAGGUUUAAUCGUCCUUGUAAGCCUUCUCCUUCUACCAGGAGGGUCAAAUCCUGGCAAGACACAAAGCCCAACAGGCUCUUCCUCCACAUCAGUUGAUCCUGUUGCUAGCUAUGCAUCUAAUGCUUCAACAUGUGCCCUCACAGCUGCAUCUCUUGCAUCUCUCCUGUCCCUAACAUGUUUGAGUGUGCAAACAUUAAGGCUGUUACGUAUUAGAUCAUACUUCCAUUGUUGGUUCUUCUUGCAUAGUUUGUUGAAUAGAUUCAUAAGGUUCUUAUUUCUGAACUACGAGAAGAAAUUUGCCCCAAGAUGGCGCAUGCACCAAUGACUCUGUAGGUCCUGCCAUGGAGUUUGUUCAUCGGGACCAGGGUUCGACAAUGUCUUGAUCGCGUUGAGUACACAACAUGCUUGUCAUGAAGGAUGCACACAUUCGGCUUAUCAUGCACGACCGCUAUUUUCAACUGCCUGAAGAACCAUGUCCAACUCUCAAUAUUCUCGCUUUUCACAAAAGCAAAUGCAAGUGGGACGACUUGAUUUUGGCCACCUUGACCAAUGGUUGUGAGGAUCUGAUCCUUGUACUUGCGAGUGAGAAAAGUUCCAUCUACACAUUGUUGGAAAUAUGCCCUAGAGGCAAUAAUAAAAUGGUUAUUAUCAUAUUUCCUUGUUCAUGAUAAUCGUCUAUUGUUCAUGCUAUAAUUGUAUUAACAAGAAACAGUAAUACAUGUGUGAAUAAAUAGAUCACAAUGUGUCCCUAGCAAGCCUCUAGUUGGCUAGCUCGUUAAUCAAUAGAAGAUCAUGGUUUCCUGGUCAUGGGCAUUAGAUGUCAUUGAUAACAGGAUCACAUCAUUGGGAGAAUGAUGUGAUGGACAAGACCCAAUCCUAAGCAUAGCACUAGAUCGUAUUGUUCGUAUGCUAAAGCUUUUCUAAUGUCAAGUGUCUUUUCCUUCGACCGUGAGAUUGUGCAACUCCCGGAUACCGUAGGAAUGCUUUGGGUGUAUCAAACGUCACAACGUAACUGGGUGACUAUAAAGGUGCACUACGGGUACCUCUGAAGGUGUCUGUUGGGUUGGCACGAAUCGAGAUCGGGAUUUGUCACUCCGUGUGACGGAGAGGUAUCUCUGGGCCCACUCGGUAGAACAUCAUCAUGAGCUCAAUGAGAUUAAGAAGUUAGUCAUAGGAUGACGUGCUACGGAACCAGUAAAGAGACUUACCGGUAACGAGAUUGAACAAGGUAUAGGUAUACCGACGAUCGAAUCUCGGGCAAGUUUUAUACUGACAGACAAAGGGAAUUGUAUACGGGAUUGAUUGAAUCCUUGACAUCGUGGUUCAUCCGAUGAGAUCAUCGUGGAACAUGUGGGAGACACCAUGGGUAUCCAGAUCCCGCUGAUGGUUAUUGGUCGGAGAGCGUCUCGGUCAUGUCUGCAUGUUUCCCAAACCCGUAGGGUCUACACACUUAAGGUUCGAUGACGCUAGGGUUAUAGAAAAAUGUUAUACGAGGUUACCGAAAGUUUUUCGGAGUCCCGGAUGAGAUCCCGGACAUCACGUGGAGCUCCAAAAUGGGCCGGAGGUAAAGAUUGAUAUAUAGGAUGGAUGGUUUUGGACGCCGGAAAUGUUUCGGGCGUCACCGGUAGCGUACCGGGACCACCGAGACCUCCGGAAAUGGUCCCGGGGGUCCACCGGGAGGGGCCACCAGCCCCAAGAGCUAGCGUGGGCCAAAAGGUGGAAGGCAACCAGCCCAAAGUGAGAUGGUGCGCCUCCCACAAAAGGGCCCAAGGCGCAGGAGGUGGAGAGGGGGGAAACACUAGGCGGUGGUGGGCCUAAGGCCCACCUAGGGGUGCGCCACCCCCUCCCCCUGCCCUGGCCGCCGCACCUCCCAUCUGGGGGGCUGCCGCACCACCUAGGGUGGGAACCCUAGGGGUGGCACCCCCCUCCCCUCCUCCUAUAUAUGCCUAGGGGUUUGGGGCUAUUUUGCACACCGUUUCUUCUCUCCCUCGGCGCAGCCGUGCUCCUCUCCUUCCUCCUCCUCCCACAGUACUUGGCAAAGCCCUGCCGGGAGACCUCGUCUCUCCAUCGACACCAUGCUGUCGUGUUUUCGGAGAUCUUCCCCAACCUCUACCUCCUCCUUGCUAGAUCAAGGUGCGGGAGACGUCACCGGGCUGCACGUGUGUUGAACACGGAGGUGCCGUGGUUCGGCAGUAGAUCGGAAUCACACCACGUUCUGAUUCGCUGCGAGUAUGACUCCAUCAACCGCGUUCUAGCAACGCUUCCGCUUAGCGAUCUUCAAAGGUAUGAAGAUGCACUCACCCCUCUCUCGUUGCUGGUCUCUCCAUAGGAAGAUCUGAAUAUGGCGUAGGAUUUUUUUUGAAUUUAUGCUACGUUACCCAAUAGUGGUAUCAGAGCCAGGUUUUCUAUGCGUAGAUUCUAUGCACGAGUAGAACACAAGAGGUUGUGGGCGAUGAUUUGUCAAUUGCUUGCCGCUACUAGUCUUAUUAUUUUCCGGUGGUAUUGUGGGAUGAAGCGGCCUGGACCGACUUUAAACGUACGCUUACGUGAGACUGGUUCCACCGACAGACAUGCACACCGUGCAUAAAGGUGGCUAGCGGGUGUCUGUCUCUCCCACUCUAGUCGGAUUGGAUUUGAUGAAAAGGGUACUUAUGAAGGGUAAAUAGCUUUGGCAUAUCAUCGUUGUGGUUGUCACGUAGGUAAAAAGGCGUUUUUGCUAGAAACCCAAAUCAGCCACGUAAAACUUGCAACAACAAUUUGAGGACGUCUAACUUGCUUUUGCAGGGUUUGACAUGUGAUGUGAUAUGGCCAAAGUUGUGAUGUUGCAUGUGUGAUGUAUGAGAUGAUCAUGUUAUUGUAAUAGGAUUCACGACUUGCACGUCGAUGAGUAUGACAACCGGCCGGAGCCAUAGGAGUUGUCUUAAUUUAUUGUAUGAGAUGCAAUGCCAUGUGUUUACUACUUUUAUUUCAUUGCUAACGGUUAGCUAUAGUAGUAAUGAGAGUAGUAGUUGGCAUGACGACUUCACGGAGACACGAUGAUGGAGAUUAUGGUGUCACGCCGGUGACAAUGAUGAUCAUGCGAUGCCUGAAGAUGGAGAUCGAAAGAGCAAAGAUGAUAAUGGCCAUAUCAUGUCACUAUAUGAUUGCAUGUGAUGUUUAUCAUGUUUUUCAUCUUAUUGCUUAGAACGACGGUAGCAUAAUAAGAUGAUCCCUCUUAAAAAAAUCGAGAACGUAUUCCCCUAAGUGUGCACCGUUGCGAAGGAUCGUUGUCUCGAAGCACCACGUGAUGAUCGGGGGUGAUAGAUUCUAACGUUCGCAUACAACGGGUGUAAGCCAGAUUUACACACGCGAAACACUUAGGUUGACUCGACGAGCUUAGCAUGUACAGACAUGAACUCGAAAACAAGAGGCCAAAAGGUCGAACAUGAGUCGUAUGGUUGAAUACGAUCCGCAUGAAGUUGCUCACCAUGACGACAAGUUCGUCUCACGUGAUGAUCGGACACGGGUUAGUCAACAUGGAUCAUGUAUCACUUAGAUGACUAGAGGGAUGUCGAUUUAAAUGGGAGUUCAUACUUAAUUUGAUUAAAUGAACUUAAUUGUCAUGAACAUAGUCUAAAAGUUGUCUUUAUAAAUAUUGUAGAUGGCCAACGUCAACCUCAAUUUCAACGCAUUCCUAGAGAAAAACAAGAUGAAAGAUGAUGGUAGCAACUAUGCGGACUGGGUUCUCAACUUGAAGCUCAUCCUUGAAGCAGCUAAAAAGGCUUAUGUCCUUGAUGCGCCGCUAGGUGACCCUCCUGCUGCUGCAGCAGCCCAGGACAUUCUGGACGUCUGGCAAACGCGGAGUAAUGACUACUCUCUGGUUAGGUGUGGCAUGUUAUACAGUUUGGAAACGGGGCUCCAAAGGCGUUUUGAGCAACACGGUGCAUAUGAGAUGUUCCAAGAGCUGAAACUAGUUUUUCAAGCUCAUGCCCGUGUCAAGAGAUAUGAAGUCUCUGACAAGUUCUUUAGCUGUAAGAUGGAGGAGAACAGUUCUAUCAGUGAGCACAUACUCAAAAUGUCUGGGUUACACGGUCGUCUGACUUCACUUGGAGUUGAACUUCCGGAUGAUACUAUAAUUGACAGAAUCCUCCAGUCUCUCCCACCAAGCUACAAAGGUUUCGUGCUGAACUACAACAUGCAAGGGAUGGAGAAGACCAUUCCCGAGUUGUACUCGAUGCUCAAGUCUGCAGAAGUAGAAAUCAAGAAAGAGCAUCAAGUGUUGAUGGUCAACAAGACCACCAGUUUCAAGAAGGGCAAGGGUAAGAAGAACUUCAAGAAAGACGGCAAAGCCGUUGCCGCGCCUGGUAAGCCAGAUGUCGGGAAGAAGAAAAAGAAUGGACCCAAGCAUGAGACUGAGUGCUUCUAUUGCAAGGGAAAAGGUCACUGGAAGUGGAACUGCUCCAAGUACUUAGCGGACAAGAAGGCCGACGACGUUAAAGGUAUAUAUGAUAUACAUGUUAUUGAUGUGUACCUUACCAGCGCUUGUAGUAGCUCCUGGGUAUUUGAUACAUGUGAUGUUGCUCACAUUUGCAACUCAAAGCAGGAACUGCGGAAUAAGCGGAGACUGGCCAAGGACGAGGUGACGAUGCGCGUCGGGAAUGGCUCCAAGGUCGAUGUGAUCGCCGUCGGCAUGCUACCUCUACAUCUACCGUCGGGAUUAGUUUUAAACCUUAAUAAUUGUUAUUUAGUACCAGCUUUGAGCAUGAAUAUUGUAUCAGGGUCUUGCUUAAUGCGAGACGGCUACUCAUUUAAGUCAGAGAAUAAUGGUUGUUCUAUUUAUAUGAGUGAUAUGUUUUAUGGUCAUGCUCCGCUGGUGAAUGGUUUAUUCUUGAUGAAUCUCGAUCGCGAUGUUACACAUAUUCAUAGGUUAGUACCAAAAGAUGUAAAUUUGAUAAUGAUAGUCCCACAUACUUGUGGCACUGUCGCCUUGGUCAUAUCGGUGUUAAGCGCAUGAAGAAGCUCCAUACUGAUGGACUAUUAGAGUCUCUUGACUUUGAAUCAUUUGACACGUGCGAACCGUGCCUCAUGGGCAAGAUGACUAAGACUCCAUUCUCAGGAAUAAUGGAGAGAGCGAGCGACUUAUUGGAAAUAAUACAUAUUGAUGUGUGUGGUCCAAUGAACGUUGAAGCUCGCGGUGGCUACCGUUAUGUUCUCACUCUUACCGAUGAUUUGAGUAGGUAUGGGUAUAUCAACUUGAUGAAGCACAAAUCUGAGACGUUUGAAAAGUUCAAGGAAUUUUAGAGUGAGGUUGAGAAUCAACGUGACAGAAAAAUUAAGUGUCUACGAUCUGAUCGUGGAGGAGAAUAUUUGAGUCACGAGUUUGGCACACACCUAAGGAAGUGUGGAAUCGUUUCACAACUGACGCCGCCUGGCACACCGCAACUCAACGGAGUGUCUGAACGUCGUAAUCGCACUUUAUUAGAUAUGGUACGAUCUAUGAUGUCUCUUACCGACUUACCGCUAUCAUUUUGGGGAUACGCAUUAGAAACUGCAGCAUUCACUUUAAAUAGGGCACCGUCUAAAUCUGUUGAGACGACACCGUAUGAACUAUGGUUUGACAAGAAACCUAAGCUGUCGUUUCUUAAAGUUUGGGGCUGCGAUGCUUAUGUGAAGAAACUUCAACCAGAGAAGCUCGAACCCAAAGCGGAGAAAUGCGUAUUCAUAGGAUACCCCAAGGAAACUGGGUAUACCUUCUAUCUUAGAUCCGAAGGUAAAACCUUUGUUGCCAAGAACGGAUCCUUUCUAGAGAAAGAGUUUCUCUCAAAAGAAGUAAGUGGGAGGAAAGUAGAACUUGAUGAGGUAAUUACACCCGCUCUCAAACCGGAGAGUAGCGCAGCGCGGGAAAUUGUUCCUAUGGCGCCUAUGCCAACUGAAGAGGAAGUUAAUGAUGAUGAUCAUGAAGCUUCGGAUCAAGUUGCUACUGAACCGCGAAGGUCCACAAGGGUACGCUCCGCACCAGAGUGGUACGGCAACCCUGUGAUGGAAAUCAUGUUGUUAGACAACGGUGAACCUUCGAACUAUGAAGAAGCAAUGGCGGGCCCGGAUUCCAACAAAUGGCUUGAGGCUAUGAAAUCCGAGAUAGGAUCCAUGUAUGAGAACAAAGUAUGGACUUUGGUGGACUUGCCCGAUGAUCGGCGAGCCAUAGAAAAUAAAUGGAUCUUCAAGAAGAAGACUGAUGCAAACAGAAAUGUGACCGUUUAUAAGGCUCGACUUGUCGCAAAGGGUUUUCGACAAAUUCAAGGAGUUGACUACGAAGAGACUUUCUCUCUCGUAGCGAAGCUAAAGUCAGUCUGAAUCAUGUUAGCAAUUGCCGCUUUUCAUGAUUAUGAAAUUUGGCAAAUGGACGUCAAAACAGCAUUCCUUAACGGGAAUCUUAAGGAAGAGUUGUAUAUGAUGCAACCAGAAUGUUUUGUCGACCCUAAGGGUGCUAACAAAGUGUGCAAGCUCCAGCGCUCCAACUAUGAUCUGGUGCAAGCAUCUCGGAGUUGGAACAUUUCCUUUAAUGAGGUGAUUAAAGCGUUUGGGUUCAUACAGGUUUAUGGAGAAGCCUGUUUGUACAAGAAAGUGAGUGGGAGCUCUGUAGCUUUCCUCAUACUGUAUGUGGAUGACAUAUUAUUGAUGGGGAAUAAUAUAGAGAUGUUGGAGAGCAUAAAGGCCUAUUUGAAAAAGAGUUUUUCGAUGAAGGACCUUGGAGAAGCUGCAUACAUAUUAGGCAUCAAGAUCUAUAGAGAUAGAUCGAGACGCCUAAUAGGUCUUUCGCAAAGUACAUACCUUGACAAGAUAUUGAAGAAGUUCAAUAUGGAAAACUUAAAGAAGGGGUUCUUACCUGUUUUGAAGGUAUGAGAUUGAGUAAGACUCAGUCACCGACCACGGCAGCAGAUAGAGAGAAGAUGAGUAUUGUCCCCUAUGCUUCAGCCGUAGGCUCUCUAAUGUAUGACAUGUUGUGUACCAGACCUGAUAUAAACCUUGCCAUAAGUUUGGUAGGGAGGUACCAAAGUGAUCCCGGUAUGGAACACUGGACAGCGGUCAAGAAUAUCCUUAAGUACCUGAAGAGGACUAAGGAGAUGUUUCUCGUUUAUGGAGGUGACGAAGAGCUCGUCGUAAAGGGUUACGUCGAUGCUAGCUUCGACACAGAUCCGGAUGACUCUAAGUCACAGACCGGAUACGUGUAUGUUUUGAAUGGUGGGGCAGUGAGCUGGUGCAGCAGAAAGCAAGAAGCCGUGGCAGCAUCUACAUGUGAAGCGGACUACAUAGCUGCUUCAGAAAGGGCUCAUGAAGGAAUUUGGAUGAACGAGCUCAUCACCGACCUUGGAGUGGUCCCAAGCGCGUCGGGUCCAAUGACACUCUUCUAUGAUAACACUGGGGACAUUGCCAUAGCCAAGGAGCCCAGGUUUCACCGGAAGACCAAGCACAUCAAACGCCGCUACAACUCCAUCCAGGACCAUGUCCAGAGUGGAGUAAUAGAUAUUUGUAAAGUACACACGGAUCUGAAUGUUGCAGACCCGUUGACUAAACCUCUUCCUCGAGCAAAACAUGAUCAACACCAUAAUGCUAUGGGUGUUCGAUACAUCACAAUGUAACUAGAUUAUUGACUCUAGUGUAAGUGGGAGACUGUUGGAAAUAUGACCUAGAGGCAAUAAUAAAAUGGUUAUUAUCAUAUUUCCUUGUUCAUGAUAAUCGUCUAUUGUUCAUGCUAUAAUUGUAUUAACAGGAAACAGUAAUACAUGUGUGAAUAAAUAGAUCACAAUGUGUCCCUAGCAAGCCUCUAGUUGGCUAGCUCGUUAAUCAAUAGAUGAUCAUGGUUUUCUGAUCAUGGGCAUUAGAUGUCAUUGAUAACGGGAUCACAUCAUUGGGAGAAUGAUGUGAUGGACAAGACCAAUCCUAAGCAUAGCACUAGAUCGUAUUGUUCGUAUGUUAAAGCUUUUAUAAUGUCAAGUGUAUUUUCCUUCGACCGUGAGAUUGUGCAACUCUCGGAUACCAUAGGAGUGCUUUGGGUGUAUCAAACGUCACAAUGUAACUGGGUGACUAUAAAGGUGCACUACGGGUACCUCUGAAGGUGUCUGUUGGGUUGGCACGAAUCGAGAUCGGGAUUUGUCACUCCGUGUGACGGAGAGGUAUCUCUGGGCUCACUCGGUAGAACAUCAUCCUGAGCUCAAUGUGAUUAAGAAGUUAGACACACGAUGACGUGCUACGGAACCAGUAAAGAGACUUAUCGGUAACGAGAUUGAACAAGGUAUAGGUAUACCGACGAUCGAAUCUCGGGCAAGUUUUAUACCACACACAAAGGGAAUUGUAUACGGGAUUGAUUGAAUCCUUGACAUCGUGGUUCAUCCGAUGAGAUCAUCGUGGAACAUGUGGGAGCCACCAUGGGUAUCCAGAUCCCGCUGAUGGUUAUUGGCCGGAGAGCGUCUCGGUCAUGUCUGCAUGUUUCUCGAACCCGUAGGGUCUACACACUUAAGGUUUGAUGACGCUAGGGUUAUAGGGAAAUGUUAUACGAGGUUACCGAAAGUUGUUCGGAGUCCCGGAUGAGAUCCCGGACGUCACGAGGAGCUCUGGAAUGGUCCGGAGGUAAAGAUUGAUAUAUAGGAUGGAUGGUUUUGGACGUCGAAAAUGUUUCGGGCAUCACCGGUAGCGUACCGAGACCAUCGGGACCACCGGAAAUGGUCCCGGGGGUCCAGCGGGAGGGGCCACCAGCCCCAAGAGGUAGCAUGGGCCAAAAGGUGGAGGGCAACCAGCCCAAAGUGGGCUGGUGCACCUCCCACAAAAGGGCCCAAGGCGCAGGAGGUGGAGAGGGGGAAACCCUAGGCGCUGGUGGGCCUAAGGCCCACCUAGGGGUGCGCCACCCCCUCCCCCUGCCCUAGUCGCCGCACCUCCCAUUUGGGGGGGCUGCCGCACCACCUAGGGUGGGAACCCUAGGGGUGCCACCCCCCUCCCCUCCUCCUAUAUAUACCUAGGGGUUUGGGGCUAUUUUGCACACCGUUUCUUCUCUCCCUCGGCGCAACCCUGCUCCUCUCCUUCCUCCUCUUCCCAUGGUGCUUGGCGAAGCCCUGCCGGGAGACCUCGUCUCUCCAUCGACACCACACCGUCGUGCUGCCGGAGAUCUUCCCCAACCUCUCCCUCCUCCUUGCUGGAUCAAGGUGCAGGAGACGUCACCGUGCUGCACGUGUGUUGAACGCGGAGGUGCCGUGGUUCGGCACUAGAUCGGAAUCACACCACGAUGUGAAUCGCCGCGAGUACGACUCCAUCAACCGCGUUCUAUCAAUGCUUCCGCUUAGCAAUCUUCAAAGGUAUGAAGAUGCACUCAUCCCUCUCUCGUUGCUGGUCUCUCCAUAGGAAGAUCUGAAUAUGGCGUAGGAUUUUUUUUUGAAUUUAUGCUACGUUACCCAACACACAUAUCACCGGUUGACAAUGUCUGAAAGCUUCGAUGCAGACAUCGAAAGAGAAGAACAACCGAUGCAACACCCUCACAGUUGGGAACUCUCGGAUGAACAUGUCUUGGAUGUCGACAUAGGUGCCAGGAUUCCGGUUCUGCAGUGUGUGCACGAGCCAGACAACAGAGUCAUAUGCAUCAAAAUACGAACCAAAUCUGGUCUCAAGUGCCCUCUGCUUAGCCCUCCAAGCCUUUCCAUAAGAAAUUUUGUACUUGAACCUGAUGAAGACUUUUGUCUGGAUAGCCUUAACUUCCAUCGCUUUGCUCUCCACUAUCUUGUUGUAAAGCAACCGAGCAAUGACCGUGGAAGUAAGGUUAUGAUGAUCUUGAGGGAUACAUGGAAUAACACAAGUAUGAUGAACUAUGCCACUUAUGACCCAGCUUGUGCCAUACUUAGGGAGAUAGCCAUGCACCCUUGCGGGACAACCCUGGUUUCUGCGUACCAUUGUCAAGUUUUUCGGACUUGAAACAUCAGCUACAAAAACCCUUUGCAUGGACAUUGCCCAAUCAAUGAUUGCAUCCUUCAAAGCUUGUUUGUUUGGGUACAGGGCACGUGUCACAAUGUUGUCUUGAUGAUACUGCGCGGCAGAAUCAUGACCAUCGUUCACGAUCAUUGCAGAUGAGAAUUCCCGAUUCCAUGAUGCAGGAAUAGGCGCUUCAUGUGCGUUCUCUUCUUCGUCUGACUUAGCGGAAUCAUCGGCAAUAUCACCUUCUCUAUCUUCUUCAUGCAUCUCGUUUUGCAUGCGCCCGUUUAUCUCGUCAGCGUCCGCCUCGCAACUGACAUAAUUUCCUCCUUCUACCUAACUGCUCUGCCCUGCUUCGUAAACAUCAUCUCCAGCAUGGGACGCAUAAUUUUGCUGUGAAUCAUGCAUCCCUUCAAUGCUCUGGCCAUAAUCGUAACUAUAUUCGGCUUCAGUUGCACUAACCGGCUUCAGCACGGGCAGCAGUAAGGCGACAUGAUUACAUCCCCUACGCUCGCAAGCUUUUUCAUUAGGGCAACGAUCUGUGUCGGCGCGCCGGUGCAGACGUUUCGGCCAGUCAACGCCCCAGCGUAGGAUACAUGCACAUGUAACCGUCCGAUCCAGAAAAAAAAAUCCCCUCCUCGCUCUCACCGCCUCCCGCUAGCUUGCUCGUCGGCGUGCUCGCCAGGACGCUCGUCGGAGCCGCGUGCAAGCCAACAUGCUCGUUAGAACCGNNNNNNNNNNNNNNNNNNGCUCUCUGGAGCUGCUCGUCGGCGCGCUUGUCAGAGCCGCUCGCCGGAGCUGCUCGUCGGCUUGCUCGCCGGAGCUGCUCGUCGGCUUGUUCACCGGAGCUGCUCGUCCUUGCCGGAGCCGAUCGUCGGUACUUGUGUUGUUGUCAAGCUCGUUGCUUGUAGGAGAGGUUGCGGCGGUCAAAACUUUUUCCCCUGGUCGUCGCUCGUUGAAGCUUUUCACACAUACGGUUGAAGCUUUUUCUAGAACGGUUGUAACUUUUCUGAUUGUGCAGUGUAUGGUUGUAGCUUUCUCUUCCAAUGAUUGGAACUUUUUUCCUCUACGGUCGAAGCUUUUAUGUAAAGGGUUGCAACUAUUAUCUUUUAGCAGCGCUCGAUUAAUGCGCUCUCUAUUGUUUCAGUUGCAGCUUUUUUCAUCAACGGUUGAAACAUUUUAGGUCAACGGUUGCAGCAUUCCGUCAUGGCAAUGACCGUUUGUAGAUUUUAUAUGUAUGGUUGCAGCUAUUUUCAUCAACGGUUGUUGCAUUUUAUGUCAACGGUUGUAGCAUCGCGGGUCGGGAUCUGCGGGGGCGCAUCUCGCGGUCGAACUGGUCGGACAUAGUCGUGGACAUAAAGCUUUUUCAAACCAACAGUCGAAGCUUUUUCAAUGAUUGAAGCUUUUUCUCAUGGAUUGAAGCUUUUCAUUCCAUGCUCUUGAAGCUUUUUCAAUGGCCAAGAGAAGAGCUGGAGGAGGAAGAAUAGCGGUUGGUGGAUGGAUAAGGCAUUAGAUAUGUGGCUAGGAAAGAGUCUGUUGCACAUGGACUGGAUGGGUAAACGAGGACCACUUGAUUAAAAGUGAAUCCAACGUCCCGCGCGCGACCGGCGGAAGACUCAGCCGGCGCGCCGGGUAUAAACAAUUUCCUUUUCAUUAACAUGGAGAAUAUUUAGGUGGUUUUGAGCGAAAUAAUAGAUGGUUAGAUUUCAUCACGAACCAUUAAAACCCGGAGGUUGAUCGAAGACGGUUAGGUAUCAAAAUGGGUACACAACAAACGAAGAACAAACUCUUCCUUUCAUUAUCUCCCCUAAUAAUAAACCACGUAUCGCUUCUGUCGUCCGUCGCUAGCGUUUUUGCAGAAAAGUCCUUCUGUUCUUUCGAAAUCAACCCGCAGUCCUAUAGUAAGUGGAAAAAAACGUUUCAGGUCGUGACGCGGAUCUCGGCGGGGAACGACUGCAGAGGUUGCAUCUCUGGCCGAGCUAGGCCAUGGGGAGGGCGGCGGCGCGCGGAUCUCGGCGGGGAAUGGUUGCAUAGGUUGCAGCUCUGGCCGAGCUAGGCCAUGGGGAGGGCGGCGGCUCGCGGAUCUCGGCGGGCGACGGGCGGCGCGACGCUGGGCGAGGGGGCUUCGAUCUGAUUAGAGGAGAUCUUCGAGGACUACGAGGCGGUUGUGCCCUUCUACGCGCUGGCCGGACUGGGCGUCGCCGUCCACUGCGCCGUGCCGCCCCGUCCCCUCCGCCUCCGUCGACGCCGGUGAUGCGGGGCCGCCGCGAUGGACGCCCUGUCCCUCAUCGACGUCUCCGGCAAGGAGGACGACUUCCUCGUGGACCUGGCCUCGCCACCGCAGCACCCCAACCCGCCACCGCCGCCCCGCCCCGCUCCAGGUGAGUCAACCGGCUCGCCGUCCCCCGUGACCGUUCCUUCCAUUUCGGCGCGUGCGUGGGUCGCGCCUCCGAUCUGACGCGCAGUGCUACGUUUCCCCCCUCUUGCAGCGGCUUCGGCGGUGGCCGCCGAUUCGGAGCAGCCCGCCGCCGGAUCUCCUCCUCCUCCGGCGGGGCAGGCCGUGGACCCCGCGGAGCAGGCCCCGGAGCGGGCGCAGUCCCCGAAGAAGGCCAAGCCCAAGGGCGGCGUCAACCUCCGCAAGAGCCUCGCCUGGGACAAGGCCUUCUUCACCAGCGAAGGUCUGCGCGUCGCCUGGCACGAAAUCUCUGUUGUUCCGUGACUGUUGCGUGUCAUAAUACGCAUUGUAGGCUCAUGGAUACUGAUCUGGAUUGCUGCCACCAGUCCUGCCAGAUCCUAACGUUUCCCUUUCCAGCUCCGUAGUUGUCUUUUGUUAUAGCAGACCUGUUAUUAUCCUGAUGCGUUGAUUGAUAGCAGCUAACGCUUCCUCCUGGUCUGAGCAGGCGUUCUGGAUACCGAGGAAUUGGGCAUUGUGACAGCACUUUCCGCAAGUCGCAUGGUUCAAGGCUACUGCCAGGAAUAGCAGAGGAACUGAGGAGGUCAACCGAGUCCACUACCUCAACGCUGGACAGCGAAAGCUUUGUGCUGGAAAGCCUUGAGACAGAGCUGUUUGACAAUGUCCGUGCUUCGAUUCAGAGAACACUUGGAAAACCUGAUAAAGCUCCAGGCGUGGCUUUUGCUAGCUCAAAGACCCCUAGGGCAACAGCAAAGGCACCUCCUGUCACAGGUAGCAUGUUACAAACUCACAAGUUGAUGCGAAAAUGCUAAUUUCUUAUGUUGUAACUUCAGAAAGCACCGUCUGCUCUAUUUUUUAACUAAUGUGAUUGCCGUGUUGCUACUUUCCAGCGAGAAAUGGGGUUGAUCGGAUACCUCCUGUUUCCUGCAGUACUUGUUAAUGCUGCCUCAGAUAAGGCCUCCUGCUUCAACAAGCAAUGGGUCUGUUGGUGGUAGCAAGCAAAGGCCCAAGUCACCCUGAAAGAGCCUGCACCUGGAAGAGUGGUAUGUUACAUGCUUGUAAUUCCAGAAUAUCCAUGAACUUUCUGUAGUUAACUAGAGGUUUAGGAUUUGUGGGAUGCUUGCUACAUUCACCAGGAUGCUAUAAUUGUAGUGAACCAUUUCUUGCAUUUACCGAUAAUUAGCUUACUUGUGAAACCUUAUUGCGAAACUGCACAGAACUAAUUAAAAAAAGCUCCAGUUAGAUAAUUUUGUUAUCUUUUAGGGGGAACAAAGCUGGCCACUUGCUUGUAUAAGGGCAACGGAACGGCAGGUGGGACUUGACUGUUUAGUUGGUGCUACUGGCAUUGCUUGGUGGAAGGGCAUAUGUAAAAAAAUGUUUUCGCUUCUCCAACGUAUGGCGGAGGGCAUUUUGUAGAUAAGAUAUACCAGUAGCAAGUAAUUUGUGCUGUAGUCUUAGUGACGUGGCAUACGGUACGGGUGCCAACAGAAAGCGACCACAUCCGCAACGCAAGACCGCAACCGAGUUGCUUUUGCUGGCUGCCCCAAGCUUGGUCUCAAUUCUGGGAAAUACUUACUACGUAGCCGACUGGUCGUGCCUUAGAAACAAAGGCAGAGAAAGAGAUGAGCGUCACCUUAGCCGCGUGAGCAAAUCACACGGACGGAACCACAAAAUCACGGCAGCUACCGGCAGGCUUACGCCGCUGAUCCGGACCGGAGGCAACCACAACCUCACCUUGGGGCUGCCCCAACCGUGUGCACUCGAUUUAUAAGGUAUGAACAGGAUACAAAAUUAAAAUGUAGUUUGGAUUUGCCAGAUACCAAAAUUACACAAAAUCAUGAUUUAAAAACAUAAAUAAAAUAUAUACAAACAACAUAUCUCCCCUAAUAAUAAAGCACGGAACGCUUAUGUCGUCCGUCGUGGCAGUUUUGCAAAACUGUGAUAUUUUUGUCCCGUUGGAAUAUGAGAGCAUCACUUUAUUUUUGUUCAAUCACAGAAAAUGGAUCACGACUUUGAAUCAAUCAUUGUUGCUUGUAAUAUUAGUUGGAAACUAGAUAUAUGGAUUAGAGAAAUCCAGGUUAAGCAUUGAUCUAGAGAUUGGAUGUCCGAUCCACUAACUUAACUGUAAAACUGUGAUAUUUUUGUCCCGUUGCAACGCACGGGCACUUGUCCUAUCAAUACUAAUACUAAUAUUAAGUAAAACUAGUACAUUACAUACAUCCACCCGAUGUAGGAUUGAUCGAUGAGAUUCUUAUUUGACAGCAGCUAACGGCAGCAAAAAGAAAAACAGGGAACGAGAGCCCGUGAAAGAAAUAAAGCAUGCGCUUGCCUGGCGGACAUAGAUAAUCAAGCUGCCUUUCUUCAUGGAAUGUCUUGGCAAUUCGCUUCAACGCAGACAUCUAUGCACUCAGGGUCGUGUUUACCUAUCAAAUGAUGGCAGUGUACCUGGCAAUCAACAAUGCAGUUCCAGCACUCUUGGCUUGGGGACGGGUUGGCCUCGUCGCAUUCGGCCGCCGCCGGCUCGGCUAUGAGCAGCUGCCCGACGAAGAGGGCCAGCACAAACAUGGCUGCCAUCUUCGGCGAGGCGUAGGAGCUGGAACCCAUUGCAAUCGAUGGAUCGACUCGACCUAGAUAUGCAAUGCACUAUGUAUAUAUGCUUUUAAUCGAGGCUUGACAUGCGAUGAGAGUAGAGACGAGCCUCCUAUUUAUGGCCAUCUUGCUAGCUUAGGAUCUGAUCUUAAUCCAGAUCACCCAACUAAUCAAACUUACUUAUUGUGGUUAUGGAGGGAGUGGUGAGAUUAUUGACCAACUGUAGCAUAAUACUAUAGUACAAGCAUCUCAUAUGAAAUCCGAUUACUCAAGGAUCCUCUCGGUCCCCGACUUAUUCUGUCAACUCCCUUUACACAUUAGACUAGCAGCAUUUGUUGGUUAUGCGUGUUCCUCGUGCUCAGUUUAAAAUCGAGUGACAGGCUGUUGGCAAGUGGCCAUGAUUUGCACAUGCCUCAUGGAGUAGGAAGUAGGAACUACUCUCUCUGUCCUACAAUAAAUGACGUGUCGAUUUAGUAUAAAAUUUAUGUUAUUUAAUAUUGAACUUGCAAUGCAUAUUUUGAGAUGGAGGAAGUACUAUAUUAGCACGAUAAUGGAAUGGCGUGUUGCUGCGCCUCCAUAUUAAAGUAAGUAUUCAUAUAUGUUUUUUCAGAAAAGGAGGAUGCACAGCCGGCCUCUUCAUCUCGACGAUGCAUGCGGCCAUUUUAUUAAUUAUUCAUCAAGACCUUUACAAAGUAAUACAUCAUGUCGCUACAUCUAUCCCAUUGAUAAAGGGGUGUCAAAUGUCCAGGCCAAAUACCAAACAGACAU
rnacentral:lncRNA from 1 species